UGGUGGUCAGUGGGUUAAGCAGCGACUAUGACGGCAGAAGCAGAGAUACCCGGGUUCUCGUUACAGCCCUCGACAAGCUAAGAGUCGAGAAAUUGCUACUAGCAGAAGCACUAAGCCCUGAUCUACUUUGCUAGAAGACAUGGACCAAGAGGGAAGUGUUUGAACAGCACAGAGCUUAGGUUAUUUUUACCUUCUGAAUCCAAUUCUCCCUGUGCUACAAGAGAACUGUUUGGUUCUGCAAACAUAUAUUGUAUCUAGGAUAUACUGCAACAUAUUUAACAUAUAUAGGACUGCUUGCCAUCUAGGGGAGGGGAUGGAGCGAGGGAGGGGAAAAAUUGGAACAGAAGCGAGUGCAAGGGUUAAUGUUGUAAAAAAAAAUUACCCUGGCAUGGGUUCUGUCAAUAAAAAGUUAUUAUUAAAAAAAUAAAUUAAUUAAAUUAAAUUUAAAAAAAAAGAAAGAAAAGUUAU